AGCAGUCGCCGCGGGAAUACAGAGGGUGCGAGCGUUAAUCGGAUUUACUGGGCGUAAAGCGUGCGUAGGCGGCUAAUUGAGUCGGAUGUGAAAUCCCCGAGCUUAACUUGGGAAUUGCAUUCGAUACUGGUUAGCUAGAGUGUGGGAGAGGAUGGUAGAAUUCCAGGUGUAGCGGUGAAAUGCGUAGAGAUCUGGAGGAAUACCGAUGGCGAAGGCAGCCAUCUGGCCUAACACUGACGCUGAGGUACGAAAGCAUGGGGAGCAAACAGGAUUAGAUACCCGCGUAGUCCCUGUCUCUUAUAC
rnacentral:rRNA from 1 species